rnacentral:rRNA from 1 species
UACGAAGGGGGCUAGCGUUGCUCGGAAUCACUGGGCGUAAAGGGUGCGUAGGCGGGUCUUUAAGUCAGGGGUGAAAUCCUGGAGCUCAACUCCAGAACUGCCUUUGAUACUGGCGAUCUUGAGUCCGGGAGAGGUGAGUGGAACUGCGAGUGUAGAGGUGAAAUUCGUAGAUAUUCGCAAGAACACCAGUGGCGAAGGCGGCUCACUGGCCCGGUACUGACGCUGAGGUGCGAAAGCGUGGGGAGCGAACAGGA